rnacentral:snRNA from 1 species
AUCAUUUCUCAUCCCCUGGGCUAGCAUCAAAUGUAAUAUUUGGUUUUAUCAGUUUAAUAUCUAUGUGUUCUCUAUCUGAGGAAAAUAUAUUAAAUUAAUCUUUAGAGAUAGAGAGAAUGGAAGUCUUCUCUAUAAAGUCAGGCAUUGGCUUUGUGUUGU